GGAGGGUGCGAGCGUUAAUCGGAAUUACUGGGCGUAAAGCGCGCGCAGGCGGCUGGGUCAGUCGGAUGUGAAAGCCCCGGGGCUUAACCUGGGAAUUGCAUUCGAUACUGCCCGGCUAGAGUAUGGGAGAGGGAAGUGGAAUUUCCGGUGUAGCGGUGAAAUGCGUAGAUAUCGGAAGGAACACCAGUGGCGAAGGCGGCUUCCUGGCCCAAUACUGACGCUCAGGUGCGAAAGCGUGGGGAGCGAACAGGAUUAGAUACCCUGGUAGUCCACGCUGUAAACGAUGAGAACUAGAUGUUGGGAGGGUUAGCCUCUCAGUGUCGCAGCUAACGCGUUAAGUUCUCCGCCUGGGGAGUACGACCGCAAAGGUUG
rnacentral:rRNA from 1 species